AAUGAACUUAACUUUUGGACAUCAUACGGAAGUAAAAUGCUUCUAAUGAAUGCUUGCUGAAGCUGUUUGACGAUCAGUGUAAUCAGGCCUGAAAAAGCUGUAAGAAGUAGUGGCAAAUAGCUGCUUUCUUUCUAUUUAUUAGUGUACUGAACUAGAAUUAAUGAAUGCAAUUGUUAAAUAACGGUAACAACGGCGAACAAAGAAAGAAAGGUUGGCAAAACUAGAAGAUUGGCAGGCGGCUAGUAAAACGCUCCCUCUCUGCAACUGAAGGCAGUUAACAGCAAUCCAUCAUAGUUGCUGCCGUCGCUACCGCCAUUGAAGUGCGAGUAAAUGAGUGCCCUCGAAUGCUUCCCGGAAUAGAGUCAUCAAAGGCAUUGCUGUUGUAGCGGCAGAUCUAGCGACAGCGACAGGACAGAAUUAUAAAUUAUUAUUGCAAUUCAUUUGAGCGGAAAUUGCCGUAGACACACAUACAGCAGUACUUCUCUGGUGAUUCUAAAAGAAAGGCAGCUGACCACUCAUUUAGUUGAAACUAGAUAGAUGGAAGUGUUGCACAGUGUCUUAGAUUAUGUACUCUCUAGGAAAAUACACCAGUUCCUAGAAUAUACAGGUCCUGAAAUGAUAAAAACUUGGGAGGUAGAUGUAUUUGCUAUUUGUUGAAGUAUGUUUUAAGGAAACAUUUUCACUAGACCCUUAAUAGAUUGCGUGUCAUUAAAUAUCUUGCAAAUGCUAUAAUGCUCUGAAAAAAUAUCUUCCUUCAGUAAUCCUUACUGGGUACUUAAUGGUCAUAUAAAAUAGGCAGCAAAGUUAGGGAAGCAAAGAGAAUUUUGCCUCAAAGAAAAGGUGGCGCUCUAAGCACUACUCUUUUCACUAAAAAUUAAUUAUUAUACUGCUUGCAAAGAAUUUUGCGAAAUUCUACUUGAAAAAAAUAUGAUGGACAAUGUCUUGAGCAAUGGGUGAAUACUGCAGUAAAAGUGACAUGCAGCAAUAAAGUUGCAAACAAAGUAAAAUAGCGUUGAACCAUAACAGGCACUUAAGAGGCCCGUCAGCAUUGCCAAUGCCACUGAGGCUGCAUCCUCUCGACAGCAACAUUUUGCCAAAUGUGUUUUUAAUUACACCGCCAUUUCGAUGGAUUGCAGAAUUUAUAGACGCAAUAAUGGGCUCAUUCAUCAUUUAAUGGCGCGCAUAGAAGAGUCUGUCUACAGUGCUGUAAGUGUUUUUAAUAUGCACUUUUGCUUGAUGACUGCUUUUAUUAUUUUUAAAUUGUUAUUUAAUUGCCAUACACCUGGAACUUGGAUGGGGUGCAUUUACAUUGAAUCAUAAACUCGAGUUUAAGAUUUUUAUGAUUUUGAAUAAAAUUCUCGAUGGGAGAUACUCUUAAGGUACAGAGAGUAGAGGUGUUGGACAAUCGCUCUAUACUUAAACACCGAUCCUAUAAUUAUGAAACAAUUAUAAAGCGCGUUGAAAUCAGAGAGCUGGAUUUAAGGGCUUGCAGAUAAGCCGCACUUGGCGAGUCGGCAACUUGGCGGUUCCUAUUCUUUGCCAGCAAUAGCAUUAAAAAGAGUGUAUCUAAGCAGUAACCACGCCUGCUGAAGUAAUAAACACAUCAAAAUGUGCAAGAAAUCGAAAUCGCAGUGCCACUGGCUGGCAGGCGGCUGCUUCCUUAUAUCGGCUGCACAUAAUUCACUGUCAAUUUCGUUGCGAUGACGAUGGCAAUGGAUGAAAAUCAAACCAUAUAAUUAAAGGUGUAAAAACCCAUCCAUUAUUAUUAUUAUGGCGUGCCGAAGUUUUAUUGUCGCCGAAGGAAGCUGGCAAUUGCAUUCGGGGAGUCAAAAUGGAUUUGCGAUGGUAGCGUGAAUUGCUGUGGGGCAGUUUUUUUUUAGAUAUAUAAGUAACCUGAUUAAUACAGUAAGAGGUGAUUUUGUUGUAUUUUAUUUUAAAAAGUGUAAAAAGCCGCAUUAGUCCUCUUAAUCGAAUAUCAGUAUUAUAUAAUACAAAAAAAGCACAGAAAAGAGGAGAAAGAAAUUACGUAAUUUUAUCUAAACCGACUCUUUGAGGUCAGGUCGGGAUAUGACCUCAUCAUCUCAAACAUUGAAUCACUGACGCGUUGUGAUUUACUUAAGAAUUUAUCAGCCCGUUUUUAAAUACUUCAAAAUAUUUAUAUGAAGGUUUAGAACUCAUAGCGACUUCUUCCUAACCCCAUGAAUUUUCUGAACAGUUAGCUACGAAAAAACUUGAAAAUUGUUUAAGCCAAAAUGAAAAAAUAACUGUGCUCUUUCAACAUUUUUUACAAGCUUUUCAACACCUAACGGCGCAACUGGCAAGUGCUAUUCGCAACAGCUUUGUCGCAUGCGCAUAUUCUUCAACGCCAUCUUAGACUCAGCACCUGCAUGCUGAGUGCCAUUACAUACAGUUUAAAUUUAGCUGUGCUCGCUGCUGCUCAGCAACUUGAUUUAUGUUCUACAUGACACCCGCUGCUCGAGCCAUCAGCAUUGAAUGGCCAACGGCUGCUGGCUGCUUCAGCUUCCUUAAUAACAAAAACUUAUUUUUGCCGGACAGUGACUACUAGCUCAAUAUAGAGCUGCUCAAGGUGUGCGCUCAAGUGUACCUGGUUGCAUGUCAGCGACUAGCUGAGAUUACUUUCUUGCCACCUUCCUUAGUUAGCGCUGGCAUUGUAAGCCUGCCAUACUUGCCGCAGCCGCACUCAGUAUUUAUAGCUAUUUAAAAUGCAAAUUGAAGAUCAGAACUUUAAUGUGGCACAAUCACUUAGAGCACAGCACAUAGCAUAAGAUGGUGCAUGCAAAAUGCCACAUGUGCCACCUGAACAGCACACAUGCCACUUUUGCAUCGGGUUGACAGCAUAUUGCCACAUGUGGCACAGACUACAGGCAACUGGCGUUCUUCCGCCUCAGCACGGCCAACAACAACUGCAUUUACAUAGAAAUGUUAUUAACGUCAUUAGCGUGACAUUUGUAACGCGCUGCUUGUCGAGAGA